AUGUGCGGUGUGGAUAGUCCUCUGCCUAGCCUAAUAAAAACAGACAAACAAACCACUCUUCCAUAAAAGCUGACUGUCCCCGUCCCGCCCCGAGUGUUGUAUGGAGAACAGAUGAUUCGACCGCAGCAAACUCAAGAACCAUCUCCUGCCCCCAAGUUCCCAAAUUGUUCCUAAAAAUAUACUUGCGAAGUCAAAAGGGUACAACCAGAAACGAUCAGAACCUCAUACUCAAAGACUCCGGUUCCUCAAAUCAUAUGCUCGGUAUUCAAUUUAGAGAAGAAAGUACUUCCUGCUAGGGCAUUUGAAGUCUGAUCCUCCUAAAUAUUGAUUUUUCAUUGAAAAAGCCCUCAGGUCCUAUCAUUUGCAGGAAAAAAGUAGUGACUUCCAGACCAGUGGUGCUCACCAGGCAUUUGUUGAUUGGUUUGGUUGCCAAACCAUACUUGUGUUUAUUCCAGGAUCGAAGGAGAGCUAAAAAAAAAGAUGGUUCUGAAAGGGAGAUAUUUGGAGUGCCAGCAGUAUUGAGAAACGUAAUAGAUCUACCAACUCUAUGUAAAACAUUUGAAUAUGGGAAAGUGGAUACCUAGAGAAAGCAAUGCUCUCAGAAGUCCAUUCCUUACUAUGAAAUUGAAGGCUGUGGUGCAGCAUUACCAGAGUUGGUUUGCUGCCAGAUAAUUUGGUCAUUUGCAAUGAAACUCAAUUGGGUGAAGGAGAAGCUAAAAGCAAGAGUCCUUUCUGGCUCUUAAGAUGUUUUUGGGCUGUCAAGAUAUAUGAAAUUUGGUUGCAAAAGCAUGGCUUUCCUCAAGGAUGAGAAUUUUAUCUUCAGUUGAUUUCUGGUUUCAUACCAAAAAAUCGAGCUAAUCCUGAAAGGUUUUUUGAUGGAUGAUAUCUAUCAAAAUUCAUCAUUCUCUGAAUUGGAUGAACCAGAUCCUAAAGAGCAGACUAUGGAUUUGUUCACAAAAGACCUUGACUAUAUGGAGAAGAUAAAGGAGUUGCAGGGUUACCUUGACAUGUUAUUCAAAGAGUGAGCAGCUCUCCUCCCAUUGACAAAUUACAAUGCUGCAGUUUCCUCCCAUUUUAAACUAGAUGGAAGGUAAAGAAGAUAGCGAGGCCAGGUUGCUCACAAGAAGUUCUGAAUGUGGCCUUGAGUUCCAUGUCCUCUCUUGUCAACUUCCUCUCCUCCAUGUCCUCCAGAUCAAAAACCCUGUCCUCACUUUGACAAUGUUACCAUGAUUGGAGAGAACAAUCAGUUACCAAAUCUUGUUAUAUUUGCUUUUAUUAUACAAUGUCAAUUGAAGUCUACAUACAUGAACUGUGUAUAUUUUUAUUUCAUGAGAGUGCCCUUUAGAGUAUGAAAAGAGACAGAUAAAGGGGGGUCGCUUGGAGAAUUU